UACGGGGGGGGCAAGCGUUGUUCGGAAUUACUGGGCGUAAAGCGCACGUAGGCGGCUUUGUAAGUUAGAGGUGAAAGCCCGGGGCUCAACUCCGGAACUGCCUUUAAGACUGCAUCGCUUGAAUCCAGGAGAGGUGAGUGGAAUUCCGAGUGUAGAGGUGAAAUUCGUAGAUAUUCGGAAGAACACCAGUGGCGAAGGCGGCUCACUGGACUGGUAUUGACGCUGAGGUGCGAAAGCGUGGGGAGCAAACAGGG
rnacentral:rRNA from 1 species